GCAACAGUGGAAUAACGGUUAUGAUCCGGUCUUCCCAUUCAAGAUGUCCUCCCAAACUAUCAUCCUGUAUGGCCGGGAAAGGGGUUCGACUCCCCUCUGUUGCA